GCACUGGUGGCGCAGUGGCUAACACGCCCGUCUUUCAUGCGGAAGUUCGCGGGUUCGACCCCCACCGGGGCG